rnacentral:rRNA from 1 species
AAUAUUGGACAAUGGGGGCAACCCUGAUCCAGCCAUGCCGCGUGUGUGAAGAAGGUCCUCGGAUUGUAAAGCACUUUAAGUUGGGAGGAAGGGCUUUAGGUUAAUACCCUGAUGUCUUGACGUUACCAACAGAAUAAGCACCGGCUAACUCUGUGCCAGCAGCCGGGGAAAUACAGAGGGUGCAAGCGUGAAUCGGAAUUACUGGGAGUAAGGCGGCCGUAGGUGGUUAAGUAAGCUGGGUGUGAAGUUCCCGGGCUUAAUCUAGGAACUGCGUUCAUACCUGCUGAGAUAGAGUACGGUGGAGGGUAGUGGAAUUUCCUGUGUAGCGGUGAAAUGCGUAGAUAUAGGAAGGAACACCAGUGGCGAAGGCGACUACCUGGACUGAUCCUGACACUGAGGUGCGAAAGCGUGGGAAGCAAAC